GUCUCUAUGAUGAUGAAUUUGUUUUACAAAUGACCUUUUAUCUCCUGAGAAGUUUUCAGUGCUGAAUAAUUUUGGAGACCUGAACUGAAGAGAC
rnacentral:snoRNA from 1 species